CAUUAAAUAUCUUAAAAUAAAGAAUUAAAUUUUUAAUUUAAAAAUAAUAUAAUUAUAUUUUUAAUGA
rnacentral:tRNA from 1 species